GAAUAGUUUAUCUUCUGAGGUUUUUCACUUAUCUUUUUGUCGUCUUCAAAAACUUGGAGAUUAGCCACAACUGGAAACAGGCUGUAGAUUCAUGGCUUGAUGUUUUUACUGGUAUUAAAUCUCCUCACAUCUUGGCAUUAAAACAAUCACCACUUUGGAUGGAAGGAAGGAAUGCCUUCCUGAGAUCAGAUAGGUGAGGAUAGUUUUUCUCUUUUGGCGUCUUUUGCAACAGGAAUUUGGCUUCUCUCUUAGCUUCACCUGGAAGUUUUAUUUAAUAAAGUAUACAGUUAACUGGGAGACCUAAAAGUUUGUUUCAUAAAAAAAUUGGAGUGGAAAAAAAGUCCAACUGUAAGACCCAACAAAAGGAACUUUGAUUUUAACCAAUCUGUCCAUGGACAGUGUCUGAGAAGAACAUCAGAGGCUGUGGAUGCAGAACGGAUGCAAUGGGCAUGGUGUGGUCAACAUCAAAAAUUAGAUAUGUUUUCUGUAUUAGGGAGAAAGAGUUGCU
ensembl:lncRNA